CCCUUAGACGUUCUGGGCCGCACGCGCGCUACACUGACGGAGCCAGCGAGUAUAAACCUUGGCCGAGAGGUCUGGGAAAUCUUGUGAAACUCCGUCGUGCUGGGGAUAGAGCAUUGUAAUUAUUGCUCUUCAACGAGGAAUUCCUAGUAAGCGCAAGUCAUCAGCUUGCGUUGAUUACGUCCCUGCCCUUUGUACACACCGCCCGUCGCUACUACCGAUUGAAUGGCUUAGUGAGGCUUCCGGAUUGGUUUAGAGAAGGGGGCAACUCCAUCUUGGAACCGAGAAGCUAGUCAAGCUUGGUCAUUUAGAGGAAGUAAAAGUCGUAACA
rnacentral:rRNA from 1 species